GGAAGGAUCAUUAACACUGUGACAUUUGUUCACCAACAAAUGUUCUCCCCUUGUUGAACUUGUUUUAUCGACUGCGAGACCUCUUCGGGGGUUUCGUUGUGGUGAUGGAUCAUUCGGGAGAUGCGCUUCGCGGCGCACUCGAUGUAGAUCUCCUCGCCCAAAGCCCAACUCGGAGCUGAAGGACACAUCAAAGUGAAGAUGCGUCUUGGUUAAGCGUUGACGAGUUGUGGUAAUGGGUGUGGGUUUUCUCACCUCCACAUUGCGGGGGACUUCACACUUUGUGUGAGGAAACCUUUUGACAGGCUUCGGCUUGUCAUCAAAAACCGUGUGGACUGUUGGCGCAAGGGCCUCACCACAGGCAACAGUUGAGAACCACGCGCUCCAAUUAUUUUACUGUUUGUCUAACAUUCGCCUUUGAUCGAAAGGUCAUUGGCUUUAAAAAUUACAACUUUGAGCAAUGGAUAUCUCGGCUCUCGUAACGAUGAAGAACGCAGCGAACUGCGAUACGUAAUGCGAAUUGCAGAACUCAGUGAAUCAUCGAAAUUUUGAACGCACAUUGCGCUUCCGGACUUGUGCCGAAAGCACACCUCUUUGAGAAUCACUUCUAAAAAUCCUCAAAACCUAGUUUUGGGGGAGAAUGAGCGUGAUGCGAGCUUUCGAGUUUGCAUCUCGUUUGAAAUACAAGUGGGAACACGGAAUCGCUCAAGCACCUUGACAAACGACGACUUGAUACUCAGGCGUCUGUGUGCUGGUAUGCCUCUCAACCGCUUGCGAGGGGGAUGAAAAUGCCCUUGAACAAGUGAGACGGCUCGAUUCAGUGGCAGGUGAUAUUGGCGAAAGUAAUAUCUCCUGUUGGGAAUCGGAUGGCGCUCACUUUACCUCUGGUUGUUGAGUCCUAUCGCACCAUUACUAUGUGCCGCCAAUGUGUGUGAGACACAACUCGUUGUGCGUCUUGGGGCUUCACUCAUGAGCUUUGUCGUGUCCUGCAAACAAAUCGUUACAUCCCAUGGAGUUAGGCUGUUCGAUACUUAUCCAUUAAGGUGUAUCAUUCUUGGCCUCCAACUGGGAUCUUGCGUUACGCGAAAUUUGAUCUCAAAUGAGGUGAGAGGACCCGCUGAAUUUAAGCAUAUAAAUAAGCGGAGGAAAAGAAACUAACUAGGAUUCCCUUAGUAACUGCGAGUGAAGCGGGAAAAGCUCAACAUGAAAAUCUGGUGUACGUAUGUGCACCCGAAUUGUAGUCUAGAGAAGUGUAGUCAGUGGUCGUCCUGGGUCUAAGUCCUUUGGAAAAAGGCGACAAAGAGGGUGAGAUCCCCGUCUUUGGCCUGGAGAUUGCCACGUACGACUCACUUUCUAAGAGUCGGGUUGUUUGGGAUUGCAGCCCUAAGCAGGAGGUAAAUUCCUUCUAAAGCUAAAUAUAUACGAGAGACCGAUAGCGAACAAGUACCGCGAGGGAAAGAUGAAAAGAACUUUGAAAAGAGAGUUAAAAAGUGCUUGAAAUUGCUCAAAGGUAAAGAAUGGGCACCAGUCGAUGUUCUGCUAUAUUGGGCGACCAGUGGAGAGAGGCGUUUUAUGCAGGGAGCUUUACGGCCUCUGUGUGUUACGUUUUCCUUUUCACAGGUUGUUCAUCCUGUAGCAGAACGUGGGUCAGAAUCAGUUUCAUGUGCGCAGUAGAGACCAUCAGAGAAGGUAGCAGCUUUCGUGACUUUCGGGUUACUUGCUGUGUUAUAGCUCUGGUUGCGUUGACUGUGCAAGAGACUGAGGAGUUGUGCGUUGAGUACAACUGCACAUCCUGUGGUACCGGGGAGGUGGCUCCUGCUGGCUUGCGGUUAGUGGAGAAGAAACUUGUCCACUGAUUUAGCGAGCGGUACUGAGUUAUUUCUUCGCUGCAGUGAUGCGAUUCUGACGAAAUGGUUCUCAUUCACCCGUCUUGAAACACGGACCAAGGAGUCUUGCAUAUACGCGAGUGUUUGGGUGUAAAAACUCAAAUGCAAAAUUAACGUAAAGGUGGACUUGUGCCACUGAGGUGGGAUCCUAUUCUGCUUGAGCCCUCGUGGUUCCGGCAGCGAUGGGUGCACCAUCGACCGAUUUUUCACUUGUGAAAGAUUUGAGUAUGAGCGUAUCUGCUAGGACCCGAAAGGUGGUGAACUAAGCCUGGACAGGGCGAAGCCAGGGGAAACCCUGGUGGAGGCUCGUAGCGAUACUGACGUGCAAAUCGUUCGUCUGAUCUGGGUUUAGGGGCGAAAGACUAAUCGAACCACCUAGUAGCUGGUUCCCUC
rnacentral:misc_RNA from 1 species